CCCUGUAAAACGUGCGGCGAAGCUGAGCUGUCGCUGGAGUCGCCCCGGCUGACUGUACUGUACACUGUUGCCGUCGUCACGAUAUUCCGCGGGCCCGCGUGUAAUAUUACGGGAAUUUAAAAAAUCCGGCAUUGUUUUACUGCGAACACGCGUGAAAUCCGGGCGCAAAAAUGGUCGGGCAGGGGGUAGACAUUUGAAACCGCCAGACGGCACACACCGCGCCAGUGGCGUAUUCACGGCGGCGGAUCACGGGGAUAGGUCCGCCCCUGUGACUUUUUUUUUCACAUAUUAUUAAAUUAUAUGGACUAUACAUGUAUACUUAAUGCACUACUCAGUAGUCGGUACAAGUAUCAAUUGAUAAUUUGAAGUUGUCAAAAAAAAAAAAACCGUAGAUAACGUAAAACGCGCGGCCAUCGAAAUAAAAUAAUCAUGUCUUAUCAGUUACCAGUUAAAAUUAAUAUCAUCAACCACUGUCCAUGAUGCACAGAUAUUUAGAAGAAGUUCAUUCUAUAUAUUUUGUGAAAUUUUAAAAAUAAUGGUCCGUGGUUUAUGAUAUGACCCAUAAAGUAUGUAAUAAAUACUAUUUUAUGAUAUGAUCAUAGCGGUGUGUAGUCUGAUACUGUUGGGAUUUGAAAUUGAUAACUGCGACUAGUUAAAGCAAAAUUCAACGAGAGUUUAGAGUCACUAAAUCAGCAUUUUCACACAGCUCACAUAUAAGUACGUAUAAGCACGUAUAAGUACUUUAUAGCUUUUACCGAAUUCGUAAUAUUUGAAGCCUGCUAUUAAAAUACUUCAUACUUAACAAGUAAUCUAUAAGUAUAAAAAUAAUUACAUUUUAAUGUUUGUGCUAAAGUAUUUUAUAACUUUGAAAAUAAAAAACCAUGUUAUGAAAAGUGAAGUCUUUAUUUAUAAGUUAAGGGGGGAAGUUGUUGGGAGGGACAUAGUCCCGUAUGGGCCUGUAAAUUAAAAUGUUUGUCAUCCACCCCCUAGAAGAAAUCCUAAAUACCACUGCACCGUACCUAUAUAAAAUAUCGGCCCCAUGGUUUCAUUUUGUGCACAAAGCUAAAGCUACCCGUAAGAACAUGACAAAGUUCAUAUUAAAAUCCAACCCAAUUUUUUGCACUUGAAUCUACCUAUGAAAAAACUGAUUCCCGAGUUUGAGCUCUUUUGGUUUAGAAUGCUGUUAAAAAUGUC